rnacentral:rRNA from 1 species
AUGGCGCCGAAGAAGACGCCGAAGGGCAAGUCGGGCUUCUUCGGCGUGAGGCAGAAGCCCUCCGGUAACCGGGGUGUGGAGUUCUCCGACGCCGGAAGGCGUUGGUGGAUUGGCACGUACCCCUCCGCCCACGAGGCCGCGUGUGCCUACGACGUGGCGGUGUGGCGUGCCGAGAGGCCUCGGUCGCACCUCAACUUCCCAGAGAUCGAGACUCGGGCGGAAGCGGAGAUGCUUGUGCCGCAGGGCAUCAACAUGAAGGAGAUCACGAAGAAGAAGAAGAAGACGAAGAAGCCGUCGGUUGUCGUCAGUGCUGGCGAGACCGACGAGGAGGCGAUGGCGAGGUUUGCUCGGGAGCAUCCGGAGUACGUCCAGGCCGAGCUGGAGUACUACUGGAAGUGUGAGGCGGAGCAGAAGAAGAAGGGCCGAAGAAGGAGGACGAGGCCGGUCCCUCGACGGUGA